CCUACGGGAGGCUGCAGUGAGGAAUAUUGGUCAAUGGGCGCGAGCCUGAACCAGCCAAGUAGCGUGAAGGAUGACUGCCCUACGGGUUGUAAACUCCUUUUAUAAAGGAAUAAAGUGAGGCACGUGUGCCUUUUUGUAUGUACUUCAUGAAUAAGGAUCGGCUAACUCCGUGCCAGCAGCCGCGGUAAUACGGAGGAUGCGAGCGUUAUCCGGAGUUAUUGGGUUUAAAGGGUGCGUAGGCGGAGCGUUAAGGCAGUGGGCAAUUUGAGGGGCUCAACCCCUGCCCGCCAUUGAAACUGGCGCUCUUGAGUGGAGGAGAGGUAUGCGGAAUGCGUGGUGUAGCGGUGAAAUGCGUAGAUAUCACGAAGAACCCCGAUUGCGAAGGCAGCAUGCCGGCUUCCUACUGACGCUGAGGCACGAAAGCGUGGGGAUCGAACAGGAUUAGAUACCCGAGUAGUC
rnacentral:rRNA from 1 species